GACGUAGGGCGCGAGCGUUGUCCGGAUUUAUUGGGCGUAAAGAGCUCGUAGGCGGCUUGUUGCGUCGGCUGUGAAAACCCGCGGCUUAACCGCGGGCCUGCAGCCGAUACGGGCAGGCUAGAGUUCGGUAGGGGAGACUGGAAUUCCUGGUGUAGCGGUGAAAUGCGUAGAUAUUGGGAGGAACACCAGUGGCGAAGGCGGCUCACUGGACUGGUACUGACGCUGAGGCGCGAAAGCGUGGGGAGCAAACGGGG
rnacentral:rRNA from 1 species